rnacentral:misc_RNA from 1 species
GAGAAAUUUCUUCAAAUCCCCACUUAAUUUGACAGUUUGAUAAUUCAAUUUAGCGCAGCACUCAUUUCGCAUAAUCAAUGCGCCCAAUUAUCUUUAAUUAUAAAUCCUCUUUUGCAGGAGGCUGCUAACACAUCUACACACAAACAUACCGAUACAUAAACUCAAUUGAAAAAUGCAAAUGUCAAUAACAGCUUCAGCACGUAAACGAAAAUUGACAUGCGAAUGACCUGCUGAUACAAUUUAUGCGACCGAGCGAGCGAGCGGCGUGAGUGCCGGACAUAUACACAUACAUACAUACUCGUAUGCAUACACAUCCAUGUUGAUAAUUAGCGCAAUCAGUUAAAUGUCAUUCCACUAUUAUACGUGCAGGCGAAUUGAUGCUGUCAAUUGAAUGCAACCAUGCACGCACGCGACUAAAAAAUAAGGCAACACCGCAGUGGGUGAGGGCGAGCACGUGGGCGUUGACGUUAGAAGGCAAGAGGCAGGAGGCAGGAGGCAGGUCAUGCGGUGCAUUUGCAUUUAAUUCGUGCGCACAAAACAAACACGCAGAAGUGUUGUUGUAAUUUAAUUUUGACAUUUUUGAAAUUCUGCACCAACGCCGAAAAUCACUUAACGCCGCCAAGUUGGAAGGAAAAAAACUAUUCAGGGCUGUUAAUAAUAUUUUAGCCGGCUCGAGUUUUGCCCGGGAACUCAGGCAACUAAUGACGAGAAACACUACUGUCGGCGUGGAUGACACGUCUAUUGGUGGCGCCAGUGCGGAAUCACAGCAGCAAGAGCAGCUUGAAAGCACAGCUUAUCACGAGCAACAGACCAGCUACAGCAUGCACGCCACAGCGUCAACCGUAGCCGCAACGACAACACAGCAGCAAACCAAUCAAAACCAAAACCAACAAACAAACAGCGCCGACACCGAAUGCGCAUCAACGCGACGUCGCAGUCGGCAUGUGCCUGCACUAACGCUGGAGGAUACUUAUAGCCAACCAGCGCCAGCAGAAACGGAAGAGUAUGAUGAUGCGGAUGAAGAGGAUGAUUUUGAAGAUGGCGUUGAUGGCGAAAAUGAUUAUUAUGAUGAAUCGCCAGUGCAGCGCAGCGCAAGAUUCUUGCAGCCCAGCAAGCAGCAACAGAGAAAACACGAAUUGCAAGAACAGGCUGCCUCCAGUGCGGCGAAAGGGAGCGCUAAGCGUGUAAAACGUCGCAUUAAGACGACACGUCAAUUCUCGCAACGCACCGCUUCCACCGAGUCGACAGAUAGUGGCGUACGUCCGUGCAUAUCGAAGGGACAAAUGCGUGAAUUCCGCGAAGCAUUUCGUUUAUUCGACAAAGAUGGCGACGGCUGCAUAACGAAGGAGGAAUUGGGCACCGUUAUGCGUUCAUUGGGUCAAUUCGCACGUGUUGAGGAGUUGCAAGAAAUGUUGCAGGAAAUCGAUGUGGAUGGUGAUGGUAAUGUUAGCUUUGAGGAGUUCGUUGACAUACUAUCCAACAUGACGUAUGAAGACAAAUCAGGUCUCUCAUCGGCUGAUCAGGAAGAACGUGAGCUACGUGACGCUUUCCGUGUGUUUGAUAAACACAAUCGUGGCUACAUAACAGCUUCAGACUUGAGAGCGGUGCUGCAGUGUUUAGGCGAGGAUCUGGAUGAAGAAGACAUUGAGGAUAUGAUUAAGGAAGUCGAUGUUGAUGGUGAUGGUCGCAUCGACUUUUACGAGUUCGUACAUGCCUUGGGCGAACCCGAAGAUUCACAAGAGAUAGAUGAGGACAUUGAGGAGGAAAAUACUACUUCACCUUUGCCAACACCAAAAUCGGUCGUCUCGAUGACUUAUGAUUGAACGAACCCAGCAGCAAUUUGGCAGCUAAAAACGAAGAAGAUUAACGAAAAUACAAAGUUUUGUCGAGUUGACAACACAUUAAACAAAAAUUAUCCUAAUUCAAAUUAAAUAAUCAAAAUAGCUGCAUACUCGUACAUACUUAAAUGAAACAUUUUAACUUAGAAAUGCAAUAUUGUAAGUAAGAAUACAUAUUUAAAAUUAAGUUGACAAAAAUCAAAAUUUGCAUACUUCGUAAUGUAGAAAAUUAUUUAAUAAAUUUUUAAUUAAACAAAUACUAAUUAGCUAAACAAAAUCUCUAUAGGCUAAAAU